AUCACAUGUGGGACUGGAAUGUUAUUAUAACUGCACUGAAAAAGGCAAAGGAGCUCAGCUCUCUGAGAGAGAGAAUUCAGGCAUGGGAGGUCAGAUGGAUUGCUGAAAAUGCUGGUUAAGAGCCUCUUACAAAUCUACCUCUUUGCAAGUCUCUUAUCUACCUACUAAUCAUCGAAAAUCCAGAAAGCUCAGGGUUUAGGACCAUAAUUUGCAAAAUCUCCGCAAUCCUGUUGGUUGAAAAGCACAGGUGAAAUAUGAAAUCUCACUCAAGCUCACUGUUAAGUGAACCAAGGACAAACUGAUUUUAUUACGUCUAUUUCCUAAAAAGCCUUCUCCAAUAAGCCCUCGGUGAAGGAAGUGGUAUAUUCUGGAGUAUGCAGAAUUUUUAUUAACAGCAUUUGCCUCUGGAACUGUGGACACCUCUUUGCAAGUGGAGACCCUGUUUUCUCCCAUUCCUAACCUAGGGGAAGACUCCACACCCUCAGCCAUGCUCAUGCCCCCGGGCCAGGAGCUGCUGUGGGGGGAGCACACGCUUCCUCAAAAUGGCCAUUUCUGAUCUUGACCUUCACGCCACAAUUAGCAGUAAGUAAUGUGAGUCUUGCUUUAUCCCACAGAGGGAAUUUCCGUUUGGACAAUGUUUUCAGAAAUGUAAUCUUUUCAAUAUGAAACUGCUGAUGGACCAAGAAAACAAAACCCUCAACCCAAGGGAACAUCAGAUUGCUGGUCAAGGAGAAAUGAGGAGCUGACGGUCUCAGCAUUUAUUUGACUUGCUCCACGGACAGAGCAGGAGAAGGCUCAAACCUCUUCACCCCAAGACUCUC
rnacentral:lncRNA from 1 species